rnacentral:rRNA from 1 species
AACGAACGCUGGCGGCAGGCUUAACACAUGCAAGUCGAACGCAUCCUUCGGGGUGAGUGGCAGACGGGUGAGUAACGCGUGGGAACGUGCCCUUCAGUUCGGGAUAACCCAGGGAAACUUGGGCUAAUACCGGAUACGUGCGAGAGCAGAAAGAUUUAUCGCUGAAGGAUCGGCCCGCGUCUGAUUAGCUAGUUGGUGGGGUAAUGGCCCACCAAGGCGACGAUCAGUAGCUGGUAUGAGAGGAUGAUCAGCCACAUUGGGACUGAGACACGGCCCAAACUCCUACGGGAGGCAGAAGUGGGGAAUAUUGGACAAUGGGCGCAAGCCGGAUCCAGCCAUGCCGCGUGAGUGAUGAAGGCCUUAGGGUUGUAAAGCUCUUUCGUCCGGGACGAUAAUGACGGUACCGGAAGAAGAAGCCCCGGCUAACUUCGUGCCAGCCGCCGCCGUAA